UGGCCGGCCUCCGUGACGAGGGCGUCACGAGGUUGGAUGCGGGAGAAUGUUACGGACCUAAGGGGGAGUCCUGAAUCCCACAUCGAACAUAAUAGGAAGGUCCCUGGGGUAUAAAAGGGUUCACACCAUCUCCGCCUUGUGAGGCGCCUUUUGUAGGACAAAACCGUGAGACUAAGGGGGCCAGAGCGGACAAUACCUCACAAGGGUGUGAACCGUGGCGGAAGGCUGAUCUGGGACGCCGGAAGGGUGAAUGCCCAGGUCCCAGAGCCGCGCGGGUUCGGAGCUUAAGUCUCGACCCGUGACAAGUGGUAUCAGAGUGAGGGUUAUUUUGAAACAUCGAUACAGAAGCAUCCCAGGAUAGAAGUAAAUUCUGUUUGAGAUCAUAGAGGGUGAUACAGGUUCCAUGAUAAAAUUGACAGCAUCGAAUUAUUCAAUUUGGAAGCCUAUGAUGGAGGAUCAUCUAUACUGUAAAGAUUUGUAUGAGCCAGUAUUGGGUGAUUCGGCUAAACCAGCAGAUAUGAAAGAUGAAAGCUGAAAGAAGCUAGGUAGAAAGACGCUGGCUACAAUCAAAAAAUAGGUUGAUAUCAGCGUGUUCCAUCAUGUAGCGCAGGAGUCAGAUGCUCACAUUGUUUGGGAAAAAUUGGCAGCAUUGUAUGAGAGAAAAACAGGUAUGAAUAAAGUUAUGCUUGUUAAAAAGAUUGCAAUUUUACAGUACAGGGAUGGACAAUCUGUUACAGAGCACUUGAGUGAUUUUCGAGAUAUAUUUAAUCGGAUGACUACUAUGGAGCUUAAAAUGGAUGAUGAAAUGAAGGCAUUAUUUCUUUUGGGUUCAUUGCCAGACAGCUGGAAUACUCUAGUUGUGACUGUUCUUAAUUCAGCUCCUGAUUAUAAGGUGACAUUGGAGAUGGUAAAGGACAGUAUGCUUAAUGAAGAAGCGAGGCGAAAAGAUAUAGACCCUGGGAAUCAAGCUCUGGUCACAGAGAACAGGGGUAGAAACAUCGACAGAGGUCAGGACUCAAAAGGCCGUGGUAAGUCUAAACAUAGAUCCAAAUCUAGAGGUAAAGUGAAGUGUUUCCAUUGUGGUAAGCGGGUCAUAUAAAACGAAAUUGUAGAAUCUUGAAGCAAGAGCGAAAAGAUGAGAAAGGCAAGAGUUCAGAUGAUGGCAAUGUUACAACAGUGAAUUCAGAUAAUGAUUCAGUUACUUUGAUUUGUACACAUGGUGAUUGUAAUCAUGUUAGUGAUCCCGGCAUUGAGUGGAUAGUUGACACAGGAGCGGCAUAUCAUUGUGUUCCUAAGAGAGAGUUGUUUACAACUUACAAAGCAGGAGACUUUGGUUGUACCAAGAUGGGAAACAAGAGUGUGUCACAGAUUGUUGGGAUUGGUGAUAUUAGUGUACAAACUAGUACAGGCUGCAUGUUGACUUUAAGGGAUGUCAGACACAUUCCGGAUAUGAGAAUGAACUUGCUUGCUAUUAAUGUCCUUGAUAAGGAGGGAUAUGAAAGUCGACAAAAGAAUGGACAGUGGAAGCUUCUCAAAGGAUCUAUGGUAGUUGCAAGGGGAAAACUAUGCUGCACAAUGUAUAAGACAUGGAUGCAAUUGAACGGUAACCAGGUAAAUACCGUUGAAAAUGAUGCUUCAGCAAACUUGUGGCACAGGAGGCUGGCACACAUGAGUGAAAAAGGGUUACAGGUUUUGGCAAGGCACUCUCUCAUUCCCUUGACCAAAGGUAUGUCUCUCGAUUCAUAUAAUUAUUGUUUGUUUGGUAAGCAUCAUAGAGUUUUUUUUCGUAAAAGUUCUCAGAGAAAAGAAAAUAGAUUGGAAUUAAUUUAUUCUGACGUAUGUGGUCCCAUUGAGGUUGAGUCAUUAGGUGGUAGCAGAUAUUUUGUUACUUUUAUUGAUGAUGCUUCACGUAAGACUUUGGUGUAUAUGUUGAAAUAUAAAAGUCAAGUACUGCAGUAUUUUCAAAAAUUUUAUGCCAUGGUUGAAAGGAUGACAGGGUUACCCUUGAAGUGUAUUCGAACUGAUAAUGGCGGGGAAUACACAUCUAAAAGCUUUGAAGAGUAUUGCUCAAAGCAUGGGAUCAGGCAUGAGAGGACAGAACCUGGAACACCGCAGCAUAAUGGUAUAGCUGAAAGAAUGAAUCGCACCAUUGUGGAAAAAGUCAGAUGUAUGUUGAGGAUGGCAAAAUUACCAAAGCCAUUCUAGGGUGAAGCAGUCAACACAGCUUGUUAUUUACUUAACAGGUCACCAUCAGUUCCUUUGGGCUUUGACAUUCCAGAAAGAGUGUGGACAGGGAAAGAUGCUUCAUACUCUCACUUGAAAGUUUUUGGGUGUAAAGCAUUCAUGCAUGUACCAAAAGAGCAAAGGUCAAAACUUGAUAGUAAAGCUACACAGUGUGUGUUUGUAGGAUAUGGUGAUGAGAAAUUUGGCUACAGGGUAUGGGAUCCAGUAAAGAGAAAGACAGUCAGAAGCAGAGAUGUGGUCUUUCAUGAAAAAGAAACCAUAGCAGACCUUGAGAAAAAUGAGAAGACUACACGAGUUACUAUUGAGUGUGAUGUUUCAACACCGACAGGGAUUUCACAGGAAAGAGCCACAGAUGGUGAAAAUGAGCCAGAAACAGAACUUGGGGAUAUGGAUAAGCCAGUUACAGUUGGUGAUGAGCCAGAUGCUAUUAGUUUUGAGCAGGGGGAGCAAUCCUCUCUACCUGAGAGUGUUGAGCAGGGGGAGCUACCUUCGGCAUCAACUGAUGUAGAGUCUCAGCCUAGGAGAUCUACUAGAGAGCGCAGGCCAUCUACCAGGUAUCCAAGUUCAGAUUUUAUUUUAGUUACCAGUGAAGGAGAGCCAGAAAGCUUUCAAGAUGUGCAGGUUACUCCGGAUAGAGAGCACUGGUUAAAAGCAAUGAAAGAAGAGAUGGAGUCAUUGCGAAAGAAUGGUACUUAUGAUCUUGUUAAACUUCCAACAGGAAAGAGGCCAUUAAAGAAUAAAUGGGUGUUCAAGUUGAAAAAGGAUGGUGACAAACUAGUGAGGUACAAAGCUCGAUUGGUAGUAAAAGGUUUUUCUCAGAAACCAGGCAUCGAUUUUGAUGAGAUUUUUGCUCCAGUUGUAAAAAUGAGUUCUAUUCGAGUGGUACUGGGAUUGGCAGCUAGUUUGAAUCUUGAGCUUGAGCAACUUGAUGUUAAAACUGUAUUUUUGCAUGGUGAUUUGCAGGAGGAUAUUUAUAUGAAUCAGCCUGAGGGUUUUGAAGUUAAGGGAAAGAGCACUUAGUUUGCAAAUUGAAGAAAAACUUGUAUGGCUUGAAACAAGCUCCUCGACAGUGGUACAAAAAGUUUGAUUCUUUUAUGGUGAGUCAUAGCUAUAAAAGAACAGCAGCAGAUUCUUGUGUGUAUAUUAAACAAUUCUCUAAUGGUAACUUCAUUAUCCUAUUAUUAUAUGUUGAUGAUAUGUUGAUUGUAGGACAAGAUGCUAGUAUGGUUUGCAGGUUGAAAGAACAAUUGUCUAAGUCCUUUGAUAUGAAGGAUUUAGGUCCAGCAAAGCAGAUUCUUGGUAUGGACAUUAUCCGAGAUAGGAGAGCUGGAAAGCUGUGGUUGUCACAGGAAAAGUAUGUUGAACGAGUGCUUGGUAGAUUCAACAUGCAACAUGCUAAAUCAGUUAGCAGUUCACUUGCCAACCAUUUUCAUCUAAGUAAGAAAUCUUGUCCAGUGUCUAAGAAAGAGCAACUAGCUAUGUCUAGUAUUCUUUAUUCUUCUGCAGUCGGUUCUUUAAUGUAUCUUAUGGUUUAUACAAGGCCUGACAUUGCUCAUGCAGUUGGUGUAGUGAGCAGAUUUCUUUCUAAUCCAGGGAAGGUUCACUGGGAAGCAGUAAAAUAGAUUUUUAGAUAUUUGAGGGGUACCUCAAAAAUGUGUUUGACUUAUGGAGUUUCACAACCAAUUCUAGAAGGGUUUACUGACGCUGACAUGGCAGGCGAUCUUAAUGGUAGGAAAUCUACUUCAGGGUAUUUGUUCACUUUUACAGGAGGAGCUGUAUCUUGGCAGUCUAAGUUGCAGAAGUGUGUUGCUUUGUCAACUACAGAAGCUGAGUAUAUUGCAGCAACUGAAGCAUGUAAAGAAAUGUUUUGGAUGAAACGUUUUCUUUUUGAAUUGGAGUUGAAUCAGAAAGAGUAUGUGGUAUUUUGUGAUAGCCAGAGUGCUUUAGAUUUGAGUAAGAAUACCAUGUACCAUGCUAGAACAAAGCACAUUGAUGUUAGAUAUCAUUGGUUACAUUCAGUGAUUGAAGAACAGCAGAUGCUAUUGAAGAAAGUCCAUACUGAUAAAAAUGUGGCAGAUAUGUUAACUAAGAUACUUCCCAGGGAAAAGCUUGAGCUUUGCAGUAACUUGGCCGGAAUGAGUUCCCUGGCCAAGGUAAGUUCCAAAUGAAAUUGCUAUGGUGAUGAAUCUCCUUCUAAUGGGACUGGAGGGGGAGAUUGUUAGGAAAAUGGGGUCCAGUCCCAUGUAAGUGGUUUUGGACCAAGUAAAGGCCAUGGGCCUUGAUCUUUUAUUUUACACAGAGCCCUAGCUACUUAAUAAAAAAGAGGUGGGGUUGUUUUAUGUGUGUGUCGAUAACCAAGCAGAGAAAGAUGAAAAGCCAGGAAAAGCAGAGAGAGAAAAAGGAGAAGGGAGAGUUGGUUAAACGGAAGUCGAUCCGUGGUCCGAUUGAGUUGGAACCUUGUCAGGAGGUUUAUGAUUCAGAGUUAUACAUUCUGAACGGUGAAGAUCGGGUUUGAAGCUCUCUAGGAACAAAUCCAGGGUGUAUUUGUUGAGUCACUUAUUUGGUGAGAUUUCUCCAAUUGUUUCUCUAGUUGUUGAUUAGCUCUAGUUUUAGCUAAAUAAGUACUUUGUAUAACUAUUAUUUGAUAGUGAAGAUUUUUCUGGUGGCCCGUGGUUUUUUUCCCUCUACACUGGAGGGUUUUCCACGUAAAUCUUGGUGUGCUUUAUUUUUCCUGCGCAUUUGAUUAUUGAUUGUUGUCUAUUGCUUCUGUAUUGUUGUGAUUAUUGCUUCAGGCGCAACAAGUGGUAUCAGAGCCAGCCCUAACCGUUCGAUCCACGCCAAGCACCUCAAGGGAGGUAGGCAGGGUGGCCGGCCUCCGUGACGAGGGCGUCACGAGGUUGGAUGGGAGAAUGUCACGGACCUAAGGGGGAGUCCUGAAUCCCACAUCGAACAUAAUAGGAAGGUCCUGGGGUAUAAAAGGGUUCACACCAUCUCCGCCUUGUGAGGCGCCUUUUGUAGGACAAAACCGUGAGGCCAAGGGGGCCAGAGCGGACAAUACCUCACAAGGGUGUGAACCGUGGCGGAAGGCUGAUCUGGGACGCCGGAAGGGUGAAUGCCCGGGUCCCGGAGCCGCGCGGGUUCGGAGCUUGAGUCUCGACCCGUGACAAG
rnacentral:lncRNA from 1 species